UUGUGCCUACGGGGGGCAGCAGUGGGAGAUAUUGCACAAUGGGGGAAACCCUGAUGCAGCGACGCCGCGUGAGCGAAGAAGUAUUUCGGUAUGUAAAUCUCUAUCAGCAGGGAAGAAAAUGACGGUACCUGACUAAGAAGCUCCGGCUAAAUACGUGCCAGCAGCCGCGGUAAUACGUAUGGAGCAAGCGUUAUCCGGAUUUACUGGGUGUAAAGGGAGCGUAGACGGCAUAGCAAAUCUGAAGUGAAAGCCCGUGGCUCAACCGCGGAACUGCUUUGGAAACUGUUAAGCUGGAGUACUGGAGA
rnacentral:rRNA from 1 species